CACAUAUUGUUCAGCAGACAGUGCCUCCCAAUAGCAGUCAGCUCUCCUGGCCAGGGAGUAGACGGCCAUUCCCCACAGAGAAAAGAGAUUUGUUUAAAAAGAAAAGUCACAGACAGGUUUGCUCUGGACGUCCAUCAGGGCUUGGAUUAUGGAGGAUACAAGCUCUUCUUCCUGGUCCUCAAAAGAGUGCUAUAACUAAAAAUCUGUAAUAAAUUUGAUACUGCCGCAGCAGACAACACCAAAGCAGCCCUUCCCCCCAGAAAUCUCCUUUCUAAUGACUUCAUGCACUUUACUAACCCACCCCAGGGCAGGGCUAUGCUUUGAAGGAUUUUAUUCCCAGCAUGCUUUUCUGGGGCUGUCCCUUUAACUUUGGUAGAGUCAAGCAGGGCUGGCCCUUUAGCAGUGGUUUGGGGCUGUAUUUGCCUCUCUUCGAGCUGAUCGUCUCGUCUAGCAGUGAACAGGGAAUCGUUUGUUGGGAUCAGACUUGGACGUACCUUUCAUUGUUCAACGCCCAAAUCUGCGGCCUUUAGAAUAUGAGAUGAUGGACCCAAAAUAAGGGACUUGCCAAAACAAACAAUAGUGA